rnacentral:rRNA from 1 species
GCCCUUAGAGUUUGAUCCUGGCUCAGGAUGAACGCUAGCGGCAGGCUUAACACAUGCAAGUCGAGGGGUAACAGAGGUAGCUUGCUACUUGCUGACGACCGGCGCACGGGUGCGUAACGCGUAUAGAAUCUACCUUUUACUGGGGGAUAGCCUUUGGAAACGAAGAUUAAUACCCCAUAGUAUUGUUUUUUGGCAUCAUUAAACAAUUAAAGUUUCGGCGGUAAAAGAUGACUAUGCGUUCUAUUAGUUUGUUGGUAAGGUAACGGCUUACCAAGACUACGAUAGAUAGGGGUCCUGAGAGGGAGANCCCCCACACUGGUACUGAGACACGGACCAGACUCCUACGGGAGGCAGCAGUGAGGAAUAUUGGACAAUGGGCGCAAGCCUGAUCCAGCCAUGCCGCGUGUAGGAAGACUGCCCUAUGGGUUGUAAACUACUUUUAUAUGGGAAGAAUAAGGUCUACGUGUAGACUGAUGACGGUACCAUAAGAAUAAGCACCGGCUAACNCCGUGCCAGCAGCCGCGGUAAUAAGGGCG